CCUACGGGAGGCAGCAGUAGGGAAUAUUGCUCAAUGGGGGAAACCCUGAAGCAGCAACGCCGCGUGGAGGAUGAAGGUUUUCGGAUUGUAAACUCCUUUUGUUAGAGAAGAGAAUGACGGUAUCUAACGAAUAAGCACCGGCUAACUCCGUGCCAGCAGCCGCGGGAAUACGGAGGGUGCAAGCGUUACUCGGAAUCACUGGGCGUAAAGAGCGCGUAGGCGGGAUAGCAAGUCAGAUGUGAAAUCCUAUGGCUUAACCAUAGAACUGCAUUUGAAACUGUUAUUCUAGAGUAUGGGAGAGGUAGGUGGAAUUCUUGGUGUAGGGGUGAAAUCCGUAGAGAUCAAGAGGAAUACUCAUUGCGAAGGCGACCUGCUAGACCAUAACUGACGCUGAUGCGCGAAAGCGUGGGGAGCAAACAGGAUUAGAUACCCUAGUAGUC
rnacentral:rRNA from 1 species